AUGGCACAAAAGGAUCUUGGGGGGCAGCUGAAGAAUUCUUCUGGCAGAAAGGGAAAUGCAAAACCUGGAAACCUCUGCAAAACCUUUCUUGACAUCAACUAUAAGCUUGUUGUUGAGGUUGUCAUCUUGGUUAAUGGAGAAAGACAUCUGCAGAAGGCAGCUCCUCCAAUGAGGAGGAACAGGGACUGAAGAGGGGUGGAAUAUUCAUCCGCAGAGACGUCCAAAAUUCAACAGGACAGGGCCCUGUGCAGCCUGAGCUUGUUGGACCCUCUCUGAGCAGGAGGUUGAACUAUAUAUAAAGACCUUGGGAGGUCCCUUCCAGCCUCAGUUAUUCUGUUUUUUUUUUUUUUUUCUUCUAUUCCGUGAUUCAUAAAGGAAACUUUGCCGAUUCCUUUUCUCUAUUGGUGUUUAAAAAAUGAAGUAAAUGCAAGGAAAAUUAAUUGUUGUCUUUCUUAAUUAGUUCCUAACUUUUUUUUUAUUAAGUUCUAGCUUUCCUUUUGCUUCUGAGGGCCUUGAGGUGGUAUUAGACCACCAGAAAAAGGAGUGUGUGUGUGUGCGUGCUCAUGUGUGUGCGCGUGCCUUUUUUUUAAGCCCCCCCCCUCCCCAAAUGGUACAAUAUAAAGGGGCACUGUACUCUAUCCUAUUAUCAUUUUAUACCAUUGCCCAUAGUCUCUCCCUUUACCAGUGAUAGUGGAUUUUUCUCUUAUUGUUUCUUCUGAUCUUUAUUUUCAUGCAAGAGAGUUGACCGAUGUCCCUUCCUCUGCAUCUGGUUAUGUAUGUUCCUUUUUUUCCUCUUCCUUUUCCAAUUGUCACUAUUUGUCCUGCCUGCCACCCUCCUGCUCCUCUUCCCUUUUCUGGCUGUGAGACAAAUACGACCUAGAAGGAUGGACAUAAAUGGAGUAUUAUCUUGAUGAAGGUGAUAUCGAAGCCAGCAGGCUGUCUGUAGACAGAGAGGUAACCUGCUGCAGUUUGCAGCUCUACUGAACCAUGUUGGAGUUCUGCAUUUGCACUGUUUCCCCUUUCCUGCUUUCUAGUUUCUUCCAAAAUCAAUAGCUUUCAGCUUAUUGAGCAACAUACCACACGGGUUUUGCCAGUUGAACCAGGUACAGAGAACUUUCUAAAUACGUUUGUUUUUGCAAUAGAAAUACAGAUUAAAAAAAAAAAAGUGAAAAAAAAAUCCUAAUGGGAU
rnacentral:lncRNA from 1 species